UACGGAGGAUGCAAGCGUUAUCCGGAAUGAUUGGGCGUAAAGCGUCCGCAGGUGGCUAUGUAAGUCUGCUGUUAAAGAGUGAGGCUCAACCUCAUAAGAGCAGUGGAAACUACAUGGCUAGAGUGCGUUCGGGGCAGAGGGAAUUCCUGGUGUAGCGGUGAAAUGCGUAGAUAUCAGGAGGAACACCAAUAGCGAAGGCAGCUCGCUGGGACGUUACUGACACUGAGGCGCGAAAGCGUGGGGAGCGAACAGG
rnacentral:rRNA from 1 species